rnacentral:tRNA from 1 species
GCCGCUAUAGCUCAGUGGUAGAGCACUGGUCUCGUAAACCAGGGGUCGUGAGUUCGAGCCUCACUGGCGGCA